rnacentral:rRNA from 1 species
AUGGCUGCUGCGCCUACCUUCUUCUCCUUCUGCUCCGUUAAGCCACUGCUCCAUUCGGCUUCACCGGUGGCCGGGAAUGCUGGCCAGACCAGUCGCAACCGUGGCUUCUUCCGCCCUUCGUCGGGGAUAUAUCCUGGGUGGGAGCCUGCGUCUCAUGAGCUGUUGCACGAUUUUGACUUGCAGGUAUAG